rnacentral:rRNA from 1 species
AUUGAACGCUGGCGGCAGGCCUAACACAUGCAAGUCGAACGGUAACAGGAAGAAGCUUGCUUCUUUGCUGACGAGUGGCGGACGGGUGAGUAAUGUCUGGGAAACUGCCUGAUGGAGGGGGAUAACUACUGGAAACGGUAGCUAAUACCGCAUAACGUCGCAAGACCAAAGAGGGGGACUUCGGGCCCCCUGCCAUUGGAAGGUCCCAGAUGGGAUUAGCUAGUAGGUGGGGUAACGGCUCACCUAGGCGACGAUCCCUAGCUGGUCUGAGAGGAUGACCAGCCACACUGGAACUGAGACACGGUCCAGACUCCUACGGGAGGCAGCAGUGGGGAAUAUUGCACAAUGGGCGCAAGCCUGAUGCAGCCAUGCCGCGUGUAUGAAGAAGGCCUUCGGGUUGUAAAGUACUUUCAGCGGGGAGGAAGGGAGUAAAGUUAAUACCUUUGCUCAUUGACGUUACCCGCAGAAGAAGCACCGGCUAACUCCGUG